rnacentral:rRNA from 1 species
CAAGACCUUGCGCCGAUGGAUGAGCCGAAGUCGGAUUAGCUAGUUGGUGAGGUAAAGGCUUACCAAGGCGACGAUCAGUAGUUGGUCUGAGAGGACGACCAGCCACACUGGGACUGAGACACGGCCCAGACUCCUACGGGAGGCAGCAGUGGGGAAUCUUGGACAAUGGGCGCAAGCCUGAUCCAGCAAUGCCGUGUGAGUGAAGAAGGCCUUCGGGUUGUAAAGCUCUUUCAGUCGAGAAGAAAAGGUUGUGACUAAUACUCACAACUCAUGACGGUAUCGACAGAAGAAGCACCGGCUAACUACGUGCCAGCAGCCGCGGUAAUACGUAGGGUGCGAGCGUUAAUCGGAAUUACUGGGCGUAAAGGGUGCGCAGGCGGUUUUGUAAGUCAGAUGUGAAAUCCCCGGGCUCAACCUGGGAAUU